rnacentral:rRNA from 1 species
UACGUAGGGUGCAGGCGUUAAUCGGAAUUACUGGGCGUAAAGCGUACGCAGGCGGCUUUGCAAGACAGGUGUGAAAUCCCCGGGCCUAACCUGGGAACUGCAUUUGUGACUGCAUAGCUAGAGUUUGUCAGAGGGGGGUGGAAUUCCACGUGUAGCAGUGAAAUGCGUAGAUAUGUGGAGGAACACCGAUGGCGAAGGCAGCCCCCUGGGAUGUGACUGACGCUCAUGUACGAAAGCGUGGGGAGCAAACAGG